AACUGUACGUUUCUCUUGCUCUCGUCAUCCUCGCACGAAAACCACAGCACAUUUUUUUUCGUUCUUUCCUUUCCGUCCCCUAUCCCUCGUGCACACUGACUUCGCCUUCACGGUUUCACCUGCACAGCUGCGCAGCGUUGGCGUCAUCAGUAAGGACUACGCCAACUCCCAUCUCAGGUACUCCCUCGUCAUUCAAAGCAUCGCAGAUGAGAUCUAAUAUGUGGAUGUGAUCCAGGACACCGUCACCUGCAUGCCUCGCCGCCUCGUUCUUGUCGCUUGCCGUAACAACCGAUCUCGCUGAUCGCGAUGUGAUCGUGCUGUCCGCCGGACCGCUGCCACAGCCGAACUAGAUGCGCCUCGAGACGAUGUUACACACAACGGAAGUGGUGGCUUACGUUGUGGCAAAGUCCAAGGAGCGCCUCUGGUAAACCUUCAUGAGCGUGCUUAUCUGCAUCUCAAGCCCGGCGAAUGUGGUAGCCGCUUCCUUGCAGAAGGCACUGGGCGUCCAGCUGAGGCGCUUCAUCUGCGCCGGCAUCUACCUCAACUCAGCUAGACAGAACCCGCUCCUGGCCCGGGAGUUGAAGGGCAGCGUAUCGCCGGUGUUUAUGUAAUCUGUCGCCAUGCUUAGCGAGAGCGUUGGCAGCUGCAUCGCGGGGUGGUCGAAUGUCAAGGUAGGCAGCAUGUUUCUGGGCCCACUGCCGCGCUUACUACCGUGCCCCCUGCUGCUGGAAGGAGAGCACGGCGAGAAGGCUGUGUUUGAGAACGUCCCGGUAGUCAUUGGUGCCGCCGGGGUCGAGGGCAUUAUCGAAGGAGUGCUGACGGAGGAGAGCGCCGGUUUUCACCACUUCGGCGACAUUGCUUGCCUUUUUAUGAAGAAGGUCAUAAAGGCGCAUCCCCCAUCAGGCGGGAGCGCGCCUGCCCGUCUGUCUGUGUGUGUCUGUGUAUCUCCCGCUGUGCCUGCCUUCUCUCGCCGAUCCCUUCUCAGUACGCUUCAGCAACGAGGGAGCGCACGAAGCGAUCUCGCGAUGGCGCAGAAUAAUGAAAGCCUGAGCACAGCUCAUCAAAACCAGAGGAUGUGCAAUCAAGCAAGGAACGACCAGUUUUGAUUGCAGAAGUCCAAAGUUACCUCACGCACGCCGAUGCAUACACAGAUGCAUACUUUCCUUCUUUUGCCAACGUGAGAGAGGAAAGAAAUGAAAGAAAGGAAAGGGCCUUACACCGAGGGUCAUACCGGCAGGCGCAGAUGCGUGUAUGUGCCGCCUCUACAUACGAGAGUGCGGCGCCUCCUGUCCGUCCCAGCUGCCUGCCUCACUUCUCCGUGUCACCAGCUGUGCCCCUUCCAGUCUCGUAUAUGGGAUCGCGACUCGGUCAAUCGACUAGGUUCUCGUCAGACGCAAUGUGCAGGCCACUCCGGGACUUCGGCCGCGGUAUCUCGUCCCAGCGGCUGGCGGGCUCAGCCUCCGCAGAGCACCAGGGAUGUUCCGAGCAUAGGUGUGCUUGGCACAACACGACACGGUCACACGGUGGAUGGACAGGGGCGCCGUGUGCGGGGCCCAUCCGAAGAUCGUUCGUGCCUGCGAAGCUGCGCACGCGUUGCCACGCUCCAAACACUCUGUGGAGGUGCCACCCCGUGUGCUCUGCGAGCUGCACGGCGUUUAUCCCACGGCGCGGGCGGCUUCCGUGAAUCUGCCGAGAGCGGGGCCCUUGAAGCGAUGAAUGCACGCCGCCGGCACCUGCGCCCCCUCCCUCAGCGGCAUGACGAUCGCGUCAUCCGCAGUCAGCAUCUCCAUGUGCGCAGAGCGUCCGCUUUUCCCCCAAGUCUACGACGCUCACGGGGUGCGAUCGGUGGCCGGCGUAAUCGUUGUCGAGCUCCGCAAACACGAGGCCGUGGCGAGGCUUGACCAUACAUGAGAAGCUCAUCGCAACUCAACGGAAACGCGCCCUCCCCUGCGCCAUGAAGACCACAUUCGCAAACAGAAUGUCUCCGUCUGGCAUACUUCCUAUCGCGUGAGAGAGGAAUGGAGUGGCGUGGGACCAGCGGAAUCCGGUGUGAUGGACUUGUGAGUAUCCAAAUGUUUCUGCAGGCGCCGGCGUACUCACCUGCUGGCGUAGGACAGCGAGGAGGAGAGGAUCACGUGAGAGAGAGAGAGCUCUGUCAAGACCCACUGCCAGGCCGCACAUCCUUGUCGGGAAGAGGGCGCACCUGGGUGUGGGUGUGGAGUUGUGGAUUUAUCGUUGUUCCACCCCCCGCCAUGCGAAAGGGCGGAAACUGGAGUCUGGCCCCACUACGAAGGGAAAGAUAAGUCGUGGUACCGUUACAGCUCUUCUUUUGUCUCUCUCUCGCGCCUCCGGGUUCCCCGUGUGCGCCGACGCGGUUCGGACUUCAAAGGACUUGCCUUCGGACGCGCUUCUAGUCUUCCCUCGUGGAUAAGAAGAGCAAGAAGAAGAGGCGCGAACUUUUUCGUCGUGCUCCUCAUGUGUGCUCAUGUUCAUCACCUUUCUGCUACUUUUUUGUUUUUUUUUCAGGCAACGGUUCGCUCGACGCCACCCUUGCUGUAUUUCACGUCCCCCUCCUCCUGGCGUGUCGUUGCAGACUCAAAGUGCACCCGGCCGAGCGUUCUCUCCCUGUUUUGUGUUUUCCGUUGUCUUCCCAGACACGGUGAAAUGCGCGCAGCAUUCCGCAACGGUGUGUGUGUGUGUGUGUGUGUGUGUGUGUGUGUGUGUGUGUGUGUGGUUGUACAGUGUGCUUCUAUGUGCCAAAAGGUGAAAAGGAGAAGGGGUGACGUAUUCCACGCAAGGACGCUGAAGCAACACCAAAAAUGGUAAGUAAUGUUGGAGCUGGGAAGUUUUCUUUGACUCUCUGCCCCGCUCCCUGAUGCUGUGACGCGUGUGAAGGAUGCGCGCCUGUUGUGCAACGAGGAGUCUGUGCGUGUGUAGAUGUUGGCGAGUGGGGGUUUCCCUUUCUCGUGCCGUUCUCUCGCUGACUUUUCGGUGGAUCUUCCGUAGCACUCAGGGUCGGUUCCCACUACACAGCUAUCGCUGAAGUUCUCUCGACCCUGCGCGCACGCUAUCGAUGUACUCUUUUCCUUGAUGCGCUGCUGUCUCCUUUCACCUUCAUCUCUCUCCCUCUCACCUUUUCUCGGCCCCACCUCCGUCCAG
rnacentral:misc_RNA from 1 species